UACGUAGGGCGCAAGCGUUGUCCGGAAUUAUUGGGCGUAAAGAGCUCGUAGGCGGCCUGUUGCGUCCGCUGUGAAAUCCCGGGGCUCAACCCCGGGCCUGCAGUGGAUACGGGCUGGCUGGAGGCAGGCAGGGGAGAACGGAAUUCCUGGUGUAGCGGUGAAAUGCGCAGAUAUCAGGAAGAACACCCGUGGCGAAGGCGGCUCUCUGGGACGGUACUGACGCUGAGACGCGAAAGCGUGGGGAGCGAACAGG
rnacentral:rRNA from 1 species